rnacentral:rRNA from 1 species
UAGAAUUGACGGGGCCGCACAAGCGGUGAGCAUGUGGUUUAAUUCGAUGCAACGCGAAGAACCUUACCUGGGCUUGACAUCCCGGGAAUCCCUUGGAAACAAGGGAGUGCCCUUCGGGGAACCUGGAGACAGGUGCUGCAUGGCUGUCGUCAGCUCGUGUCGUGAGAUGUAGGGUUAAGUCCCGCAACGAGCGCAACCCUUGUCUUUAAUUGCCAUCAUUCAGUUGGGCACUCUAGCGAGACUGCCGGUAAUAAACCGGAGGAAGUGGGAUGACGUCAAAUCAUCAUGCCCCUUAUGACCUGGGCUACACACGUGCUACAAUGGUUGGUACAACGAGUUGCGAGUCGGUGACGGCGAGCUAAUCUCUUAAAGCCAAUCUCAGUUCGGAUUGUAGGCUGCAACUCGCCUACAUGAAGUCGGAAUCGCUAGUAAUCGCGGAUCAGCACGCCGCGGUGAAUACGUUCCCGGGCCUU